GACGAACGCUGGCGGCGUGCUUAACACAUGCAAGUCGAGCGGUAAGGCCCUUUCGGGGGUACACGAGCGGCGAACGGGUGAGUAACACGUGGGUGACCUGCCUUUAGCUCUGGGAUAAGCCUGGGAAACUGGGUCUAAUACCGGAUAUGACCCUAUGGCGCAUGUUGUGGGGUGGAAAGCCUUGUGCGGCUAGGGAUGGGCCCGCGGCCUAUCAGCUUGUUGGUGGGGUGAUGGCCUACCAAGGCGACGACGGUAGCCGGCCUGAGAGGGCGACCGGCCACACUGGGACUGAGACACGGCCCAGACUCCUACGGGAGGCAGCAGUGGGGAAUCUUGCGCAAUGGGCGAAAGCCUGACGCAGCGACGCCGCGUGA
rnacentral:rRNA from 1 species